rnacentral:rRNA from 1 species
UUGGUCCUACGGGAGGCAGCAGUGGGGAAUAUUGCACAAUGGGGGAAACCCUGAUGCAGCGACGCCGCGUGAGCGAAGAAGUAUUUCGGUACGUAAAGCUCUAUCAGCAGGGAAGAAAAAAAGUCCUUUGGACUUUGGACGGUACCUGACCAAGAAGCCCCGGCUAACUACGUGCCAGCAGCCGCGGUAAUACGUAGGGGGCAAGCGUUAUCCGGAUUUACUGGGUGUAAAGGGAGCGCAGACGGCAGCGCAAGUCUGGAGUGAAAGCCCGGGGCCCAACCCCGGAACUGCUCUGGAAACUGUGC